rnacentral:rRNA from 1 species
AGAAUCAACGCUGGCGGCGUGCCUAACACAUGCAAGUCGCACGAGAAAGGGACUUCGGUCCUGAGUACAGUGGCGCACGGGUGAGUAACACGUGAAUCAUCUACCUCCGAGUGGGGAAUAACCUAGAGAAAUCUGGGCUAAUACCGCAUAACACUUACGAGUCAAAGCAGCAAUGCGCUUGGAGAGGAGUUCGCGGCAGAUUAGUUAGUUGGCGGGGUAAUGGCCCACCAAGACGAUGAUCUGUAUCCGGCCUGAGAGGGCGCACGGACACACUGGAACUGAAACACGGUCCAGACUCCUACGGGAGGCAGCAGUGGGGAAUUUUGCGCAAUGGGGGAAACCCUGACGCAGCAACGCCGCGUGGAGGAUGAAAUAUCUUGGUAUGUAAACUCCUUUCGAUGGGGAAGAUAAUGACGGUACCCAUAGAAGAAGCCCGGCUAACUUCGUGCCAGCAGCCGC